CACGCCUCCUUCCGUACUGUGAGGCGAAAAAAUGUCUUGAGCUCAUUUCAAGCCUGGAUCUCCUACAUAUGAAGAAAGCGCUCUAACCACUACGCUACGGCUGCAUUAGCAAGAAACAGCUGUAUUUCCAAUUGAACCGACUUCAAAAAAAGAUCCUUUUGAGAAGCUACGGUUUCCACUAAGCGAUGCUAAGUACCAGAAAAAGAAAACGUUGAAAAUUGUCGUUGGCCAACAGAAGAAAAGGAUAACCAUGCAAUAAAAAUGAUGGCAACGAUGGAAGAUUUUAGUGCUUUUGAAAGAGAGUUGUUAGACGAACAGAAACGUUCAAUCAUGAGAAAAUCUUUACGUCAAGUCCGUGGUUUGGAUGCGGAAGACCAAGUAAAAAUGAUUCUGGAAAGGUACACUUUCUUUUAGCUAAACAACAUUGCAGCUUUCUAGUCUUUAUUUUUGUUCAUGUGUGACUCAUCUGUGUUGAAUCACACAUGAACAAAAAUAAGACUCUUUUAUAUUGACUUCUAAUGAUAUCGACUGUUUUUAUAAUUUUAUGUUGUUAGGUAAAGCAUCAUUAUAUUUCACGCUAAAAUUGAGCUUUGAACAAUAAGUUUAUCUAGUUUAAAUAAAUAACAACUCGCAAGGUGAAUUAUCUUUUCGUUUUUGAUAGUCCUUAGUCAAUAACGGAUUUUUAAAUUGUUAUGAGUCUCAACACUUAAUUUCAACGAAAUUAAAUUAAAAAGUUACGUCAUAGAAGACAAGAAAAACAUCAGCAUCUGUUUUUGAUAACUUGUCUUUCAUUGCAAAUCUGAGAGGUGCAAAUGCUUAGUUUGCUUCAAGUACUACAUAAUAUAAUACAUCGUUACUACAUAAUAUAAUACAUUCAUUUUGAUAAUAAUAAAUUUCUUUAGCAUGCUCAUUUAUUAUAUUUUUAGCCUGUGUACCGUUGGACUUCUGUCCCAAUUUAACUUAGUCGGGACAAAAACAAAGGACCGCGGUGGAAAUAAGAGGGGGUUGAAAGGAUAAGCCGUUUUUGAAUUAAUAGUCGUCGCAGCCAGCUCGUAUAAAAAGACUUCUCAACGAGGAUAGUUAGUUUUGUUCAGAGAAAGCUGAAGAAGGCCCCGGGGGUUGCGUAGGCAACAAUGCCAAGAACAGAGGAGAAAGCUCAAGAAACAGAGGAAAAAGAGGAAGGUGAAAAUAAUGUGGAAUUUGGAGAUGAAUCUGCUGAUGACUCUUAAUUUAUUUAACUUAAUUUAGCUUAAUUCAUUUACUCACUACUUAAUAAACUCUUAUUUAAUUAAUAUAUU